rnacentral:rRNA from 1 species
GUCAGCGGUCAUAGCGCUGGGGCAACACCUGUUCCCUUUCCGAACACAGAAGUUAAGCCCAGUUACGUUUUGAUCUGUACUGCGUCAUACGCGGGAACAUCAGAGAGCUGCUGACU